rnacentral:rRNA from 1 species
UACGUAGGUGGCAAGCGUUGUCCGGAAUUAUUGGGCGUAAAGCGCGCGCAGGCGGUUCUUUAAGUCUGAUGUGAAAGCCCAGCGGCUCAACCGUGGAGGGUCAUUGGAAACUGGAGAACUUGAGUACAGAAGAGGAAAGCGGAAUUCCACGUGUAGCGGAUGAAAUGCGUAGAGAUGUGGAGGAACACCAGUGGCGAAGGCGGCUUUCUGGUCUGUAACUGACGCUGAGGCGCGAAAGCGUGGGGAGCAAACAGG